GAUGAACGCUGGCGGCGUGCCUAAUACAUGCAAGUCGAGCGAACAGAUGAGGAGCUUGCUCCUCUGACGUUAGCGGCGGACGGGUGAGUAACACGUGGAUAACCUACCUAUAAGACUGGGAUAACUUCGGGAAACCGGAGCUAAUACCGGAUAAUAUAUUGAACCGCAUGGUUCAAUAGUGAAAGACGGUUUUGCUGUCACUUAUAGAUGGAUCCGCGCCGCAUUAGCUAGUUGGUAAGGUAACGGCUUACCAAGGCAACGAUGCGUAGCCGACCUGAGAGGGUGAUCGGCCACACUGGAACUGAGACACGGUACAGACUCCUACGGGAGGCAGCAGCAGGGAAUCUUCCGCAAUGGGCGAAAGCCUGACGGAGCAACGCCGCGUGAGUGAUGAAGGUCUUCGGAUCGUAAAACUCUGUUAUUAGGGAAGAACAAAUGUGUAAGUAACUAUGCACGUCUUGACGGUACCUAAUCAGAAAGCCACGGCUAACUACGUG
rnacentral:rRNA from 1 species